GCAAUGCCGCGUGUGUGAAGAAGGCCUUCGGGUUGUAAAGCACUUUUGUCCGGAAAGAAAUCCUUGGCUCUAAUACAGUCGGGGGAUGACGGUACCGGAAGAAUAAGCACCGGCUAACUACGUGCCAGCAGCCGCGGUAAUACGUAGGGUGCGAGCGUUAAUCGGAAUUACUGGGCGUAAAGCGUGCGCAGGCGGUUUGCUAAGACCGAUGUGAAAUCCCCGGGCUCAACCUGGGAACUGCAUUGGUGACUGGCAGGCUAGAGUAUGGCAGAGGGGGGUAGAAUUCCACGUGUAGCAGUGAAAUGCGUAGAGAUGUGGAGGAAUACCGAUGGCGAAGGCAGCCCCCUGGGCCAAUACUGACGCUCAUGCACGAAAGCGUGGGGAGCAAACAGGAUUAGAUACCCUGGUAGUCCACGCCCUAAACGAUGUCAACUAGUUGUUGGGGAUUCAUUUCCUUAGUAACGUAGCUAACGCGUGAAGUUGACCGCCUGGGGAGUACGGUCGCAAGAUUAAAACUCAAAGGAAUUGACGGGGACCCGCACAAGCGGUGGAUGAUGUGGAUUAAUUCGAUGCAACGCGAAAAACCUUACCUACCCUUGACAUGGUCGGAAUCCUGC
rnacentral:rRNA from 3 species